rnacentral:rRNA from 1 species
GACGAACGCUGGCGGCGUGCUUAACACAUGCAAGUCGAACGGAAAGGCCCUGCUUUUGUGGGGUGCUCGAGUGGCGAACGGGUGAGUAACACGUGAGUAACCUGCCCUUGACUUUGGGAUAACUUCAGGAAACUGGGGCUAAUACCGGAUAGGAGCUCCUGCUGCAUGGUGGGGGUUGGAAAGUUUCGGCGGUUGGGGAUGGACUCGCGGCUUAUCAGCUUGUUGGUGGGGUAGUGGCUUACCAAGGCUUUGACGGGUAGCCGGCCUGAGAGGGUGACCGGCCACAUUGGGACUGAGAGACGGCCCAGACUCCUACGGGAGGCAGCAGUGGGGAAUAUUGCACAAUGGGCGGAAGCCUGAUGCAGCAACGCCGCGUGCGGGAGGACGGCCUUCGGGUGGUAAACCGCUUUCGCCUGUGACGAAGCGUGAGUGACGGUAAUGGGUAAAGAAGCACCGGCUAACUACGU